AAUUUUCAAUUUUGAUCAAAAAAUGAAAAAUCGCAGUUCAAGGUUCGAACCGAUUUUAACGGUUUUAAUGAUUUUUCACGAUUUUGACCGAUUUUUGAUCCUGGUCAACAUAAGCAAUGAAUCAGACCGAAUACACGGCCGGUUUGCAGUUGAAUCGGUAGAACCGACCGAUCCGAUCCGAAUUCGAAAACAUUAGAUGAACUUUUAAAGAAACAUAUGAAUGCUAUAAAUCCUUUAUGUAGUACCCGAGAUGAAGAUGAUCUCUUGUUUCCGUAACUUAGGUCCCAUCCUGUCCCAUCAUCGUGGCCCGAAUCUCGAGAAUGCCUCUCAAGAUCGAUUUCGAAGGUAACUGCAAUCCUGUGAUCUUAACCGGCGCUUAAUUCCCGAGCUUUGUUUCUUAUUUCGUGCAGGAAGCUUGUAACAAUGAUUGCCGAUCUACACAGAUCUCGGGAAUCUUGAUUACGAUUCUACACUAUGCUUUUGCACUCAGAUGUGAAUCUCUAAAAUCCUAAGCGACUAGAAAGAAGUCAUUAGCGAGAAGUCAUGGGCCAUGGAGUUGGACGAAGCAGGGGACGGGGCUGUGCUCCUCAAAAGAUGUCCUUAAAGGUUAUUCUGCUUCAUCAAGCUACCAAGCGCCGGCAGAUGAUCCGUCCAGGAACGCCACCAGGUGCCCGAGAAUGUGAUGAAAUUACAGGGAUGUAAUUGCAGACUGUUCUAAUGAGCAGAAGGCUGGGGCCUCAAGAAAUGUUACAGGUUCAUUAUCAACCUACAGAAAACCAAUAGAUAAUCAAUCUUGGAAUGAUGUAAAGUGGAUGUACAGGUUCGAGUAAGGAGUCGAAAUGCAGCUUGGCCUUGGAGCUGAUAAAGGAUUGCAAAGAAAAAAGACAAUUUGGCGCCUCAAAAUGCAAUAGAUUCGAGGAAGUUCUUCCUGGCUGUCCUAGGGAAGAAAAGGGGAACCUAUUGCUUAGAUUUGAAGAAUGCCAGCUGAAUCAUGUCUUGGCAGCUGAAUCAUGUCUUGGCAACAGGAGCAACAUGUUUCGAUGAGUUUUACUUUGUUCCACUCUCCCCCUCCCCCAUUUUAAUGAAGAUGAAAGGGAAUUCAUUUUCACCAAUUCUUUUGUAACUCACCUCAUUUUAUUUGUUGAAUUCUGCGUAAGCAAUGAAUAGAAUCCAGCCACACAAGGUAAUCAACUCA